rnacentral:rRNA from 1 species
AUUGAACGCUGGCGGCAGGCCUAACACAUGCAAGUCGAACGGUAACAGGAAACAGCUUGCUGUUUCGCUGACGAGUGGCGGACGGGUGAGUAAUGUCUGGGAAACUGCCUGAUGGAGGGGGAUAACUACUGGAAACGGUAGCUAAUACCGCAUAACGUCGCAAGACCAAAGAGGGGGACCUUCGGGCCUCUUGCCAUCGGAUGUGCCCAGAUGGGAUUAGCUUGUUGGUGGGGUAACGGCUCACCAAGGCGACGAUCCCUAGCUGGUCUGAGAGGAUGACCAGCCACACUGGAACUGAGACACGGUCCAGACUCCUACGGGAGGCAGCAGUGGGGAAUAUUGCACAAUGGGCGCAAGCCUGAUGCAGCCAUGCCGCGUGUAUGAAGAAGGCCUUCGGGUUGUAAAGUACUUUCGGCGGGGAGGAAGGGAGUAAAGUUAAUACCUUUGCUCAUUGACGUUACCCGCAGAAGAAGCACCGGCUAACUCCGUG